AUGGAUGAGGGACUGAAUACGGUGUGCAUGCAUGGUAGAGUGGCGGACGGCUUCAUCGGGCUGCUCAAGAUCCGCGUCGUCCGGACCGGCACGUCCGAGGAGCUGAUGGACUAUGCUAUCUCUCAUGGCACCUCCAUCAACCAAUACAAGGUGCCCUGGUGCUUGACGUUCCCGCCGAUCAUCGAGCUGUGCAUGCUCCGCUCGCGCGUGGUGUCCAUCCUGUUUAGCCCUGCCGUGCGGCACUGGACCCCUACUCCCAUCUGGCGCACCAAAAGGGCUCCUGUUCAGAUUAUAGACUGA
rnacentral:rRNA from 1 species